AUAUUGAGUUGUAUGAAGUGUUUAUAUAUUUCUGAUACUAAGUCCCUGUCAGUCAUAUUAUUUGCAAAUAUUUGCUCCCAUUCCAUAGGUUGUCUUCUCCUUUUGUUUAUGGUUUUCUUUGCUGUGAAAAGUUUGUAAGUUUGAUUAGGUCCCAUUUGUUUAUUUUGCUUUUAUUUGCACUUAAACCAAUGUUCUUAAACUCCACUGCUUCUUGUGGAAGGUAACAGAAAUUGAAAUAAAGAAAAAUAAAAUAUGCAAUAGAUUUAUAAAAUAUAUUAUUUCUUCCAGUUUAUAAAUAUAUUAUAAUUUUCCUAUAAUUAAAUUAUUACAGUAUAUUCCAAAGUUUUUUUCUAAAACUGUACGGAAAACACCAUUUUCAUUUAUAUUUUUAAUAUCUUGCUUAAAAGAUUCUGGCAUAGUGGUUUUGUUUAUAAUGGAUUUUAUUUUGUCAAUAUCAGCAGCAUCAUUAAAUGACUGGAAAUUUGGCAACAAAUAGUAAAGAUUAUAGCAGGACUGGAUACACAUCAUGUCUAGGGAUUAAGUUGCGGAGGUCCUAUAAUAGAAUUUGAUGAGAAUUAAUUAAGGAUAAUAAUAGAGAGAGGCAACAGACAAAACCAGCCAGCAAAAUAGAAAUUUGAGUACCCAUCCUUCCUCACCAAAUACACACACACAGAGCCUUUCUAGAAAUACAAAAAGAUUCUUCUAAAACACCACUGAAACUUUACUAUAAUUCAUACAUAGACUUGCUUUUCUGGCUUUGGAAAAAGAUGGAGAAAUCAGUUGAAUUCUCUUUUCAGGAUGAUGAUAACCUAGCAUAGCAUAUGUAAGAAGUACAAAACAAAAAAAAAAAAGGAAGUAACUUUUAAAAUUGGAUUUUUAAGCCUUUUUUUUUUUUUUACUCAUUAGUCACCAAUUUACAUGAGCCCUAACCUAAUAGAUAAGUCUUUCUAAAAUGCUUGUUAAUGAAGUUAUUUCACACCACUGGGAUGCCCCAUCCCUCUUACGUUUUUGCAGGUUAUGCCAAGUUAUUUUGCGUUAUCUCACCCAGCAUUCCUACUUGCUAAUGUUGACCACUUAGUUUGUAUUCCUCCCUUGAAGGAGUUUCUAACUAGGACUAAGUCCAUGUUAAUUUACUAAUUCAUUUAACAGAUAUUUCGGGGCACCAAGAAUACGUAUAGGAGUGUGGUAGGUGCUGGAGAUAAAACAGUGAAUAAAAUAAAGGCCCAUUCACCUGAAACUUACAUUGUAGUAACAUCUGUAAUAGGGCUUAAGUAGAGCACAAGUAAUUUCACCUCCUUCUUAGGUAUGGAAGAAAUAGCAUAAUGAUCACAGUUGUACGUGACCUCUCCACUCUAGUCUUGCAAAAAGAAGCCAACAAUCAUAGGGACUGGAGUUUAUGUUUACAAAAAUAGCCAAAAAGUUUGCACCAAUUUUUUUUCCUGGUAGUAGGUAAAAGGGAGAAAACAUGCCUGAUUAUAGAUCCAUGGAUAUUUCUUAUACUUCCUUCCAAAUUAUUCAGUUUCUGCCAUUAAAAUAAUUCUAGCUGCUUAAUGUUUUCAAUCAACUCAGUGUCAUUCUAACAUUACAUGUCUUUUUUCCAUCUCCUGGGUUUAUUUGGUCAGAACACCCUCAACCAUAUAGUCAGUCAACUUCAUAAAGUUGAAGUUACAGGAACUUCAUGAUAUUUUAAAAAGAAACUUAAUACAGGAGUUCCCGUUGUGGCACAGCAGUUAACGAAUCCGACUAGGAACCAUGAGGUUGCAGGUUUGAUCCCUGGCCUUGCUCAGUGGGACUAUGAUCCAGUGUUGCCGUGAGCUGUGGUGUAGGUUGCAGAUGUGGCUCGGAUCCUGCGUUGCUGUGGCUCUGGUGUAGGCUGGAGGCUACAGCUCCAAUCAGACCCCUAGCCUGGGAAUCUCCAUAUGUCACGGGAGCGGCCCUAGAAAAGGCAAAAAGACAAAAACAAAAAAAAAACAAAAAAAAAACAAAAAAAAACUUUAUACCUCAUUUUAAUUGAGAGGGUAAGUCAAAAUAUGCCAUAGAAUAAUUAAUCUACUACUUAUAAGGACAGGUGAUUCUCAUGACUACCUCCUACUGUUUAAUAUAUUUAAAUUAAUUAGGGUCAUUUUAGGGAGUUAAACUAUGACCAUCCAAGGAGGGACCCAUGGGAUUCUAUAUAUGUCUCAUCAUAAUUUCUGUGUUUUCUGAUCACCCUGAUUAUGUUCAUAUUUAUAUAUUUAUUGGACAUGAAAAAGGCAAUUAACCAUUCUAAGCUUUAAAAUUUCCUUGCCACUCAAAUCAUAAACUCUCUAGUUUUUUUAACUUGUAAAAUACAGAAGAUAAUCUCAUAAUUCUGAAUCUUAUCAGCUGAUAUGUCUCCCUUUCAUUUAACCACGACAUGGGCUCUUCUUGGCCCUAAUAUUUAUUUGAAACAACACGCUUACAGGUGUUUUUUAUUAAGAAAUACAAUUAAGAAUUAGAUUUUUUUAUAAAUUGAAUGUUUUUACAAAUAUGUGAACUUAAGAAAGGCUGGUACCACUCAACCUUCCAUAAACAAUAAAAUACAUAUUCAAUUAAUAUAGAUGGUAACAUAAGGUAACAUAUUAUUAAAGAUUAUUGUACUUAAAUUCAGUAUAAAAAUGCAGACAUGUGCCUAUUUGUAACAGUUUCUUAAAUGUACAUUGAAGUUUAUAGUAAUUAUUAAUGCUACAUUGCCUUUUCAACAAUAAUUUCAUUAAGCUGCCCCACAUUAUCAUAUGGCUCCACUUAGUAGCUACACUUAGCUAUGACCAUUAGUGUAUAACUGCAAAACAAAUUACAGAAACAUUUUUAGGCAUAAAAGUCACCUUUCGGGUCUAAUUUUGAGAAAUGUCACUACCAAGUAUGGUAUAUAAUCCAAGACAGGAAGAAAGUUUGUUUCUAAAACAUGUACCCCUAUCUUUCAGAGGCCUGAAGUUCCAAAAUUAUGUUCUAUUCUCACAGCUAAAUCAUUUUUUGCCUCCUACUAAAUAUCAAACAUCUUUCAAAUAAAAUAUAUUAAACCUGGUUGGUCAAUAAUAACAUUGUGGCUGGCUUUAGAUUAUUUCCUGUGGGAAGUUUUGACUACUACUAAAAGGCAACAUUAAAAUCGAUCUUUCUUGAUCCUUGUACAUAUUACAUGCUUAAUAAAUAUUGGUUCAAUAAAUUCAGUAAAAUCUUAUUGCCUGCCAGAUUUUCAGUUUUUCCUUCAUUCAAAGAGUUGUUACUGAGCACCUCCUAUGUACCAGGCACUGUUUUAGUCUCUGGGAACAGAAUAGGAAAUAAAAAAGACAAAAACUCUCACUAUUAUGGAGCUCACCUUCAUCAUGAAUUUUCCUUGCAUUGCAUUACUAUUGAUAUGUUCCCCUCUUUCAAUGCGUGUGAAUUCCUAUUUAAAUGAAUAUAAAUUGCAAUUCUCCAUUUGGGUUGCAAGAAAUGAAGUUAAGUCUGGCUAGAGCAAAUUACUACUCUACCCAUAGACUUCUGCCACAUGUUAAACCUGUAUCUAUAGCACUUUCGAAAUAAUGACAUCCUUCAAUGCCUCUCAGUAUCAUUCUUAACACUUCUUCCUCUAAAACCUACCAUACUAAGCCUGAUUCUCAAAAUAUACUGAUUAAUCUUCCAGCUUAAUUGUGUAUUUUUACAUUAUUCAUCAAUUAUGGUAGGGUUCAUUGUCUUCAGAGAAAUAAUUAGGCUUAUAUAAGCCAAGAAUGACACAUUCUAUAACUUACCUUGAUAUAAAAAACUAUUCUCAAUAUUUUUUAAAAAUUAAAAUGUAUAAAUAAUCUAGAAAGUAUAAAUAAAUGCCAAAAGUAACUCAAGAAUAAAUAGAAAAUAUCCAAAUACCAGUAACAUUUGAAGAAAGUGAACAGUAGGGAGAAAAGUACAAUGCCAUUCCUAUUUCAUAAAAGAAAAUAGGGCCGGAUGAUUUUGUAGGCAAAUCUUUACUGAAUAUCCAGGAAACUUACAAGUCCAAUGGGAAAGAUAAUUAUAUCAUUUGAUGGGGCUAAUACAACCUUAACAGCAAAAUUGAACAAGGGCAGUAAGAGAAAAAAAUAUAUUUACUAACAUUGUUACAAAGUAUAUUUAUACACUUCUAGAAAAGAGAGUUUGGGCUAGUGUGCUUAACUUCUUGAGGUGGUAAAACAUAGUUAUUUGAGAUUCCUUAUGUAAAUAGGCAGAAUAAGUCUCUCCUCACUGUCUUCUGGGCAUAAAAGCAGAGCUUUUUCUACUCUAGUGUUUUAUAGAGUGAUCAGGCUAUUUGAAAAUAGCCCCUUAGAAGUAAACUGUCAAAUCUAGGAAUUGCUACCCUCUUGCAGCUCCACAAUUCAUUUAACCCCAUCCUUCCUUCUCCCCUAAUUUUGGACUCACUCAUUUUAACAGCUUGAGUCAACCCGUGGAACUCUAAUAGCUUAUCUUCCUUAAUACGAACCCCAAUUUCAAAUCCUGAUUCCCAACUCCUGACCCAUACCACAUACCUGGUCUCUCAACCUAUCAUCAAUAUCAUAUUUUCACACUGCAGCAACAUACAAUGUUAAAAUGUCCACAAUUCUAGGAGGUUUUUUUUAUAUAAAAUGAAACAAAACAUAAAGGAGAAAGGAAUCCAGAGGCCCCUAUUAUGGUUUUUUGUUUGUUUGUUUUUUAGGGCUUGGUUUUUAAAAAUCCUCUAGGCCAAGACUUAGUUUUCAAUUUUUUAAUAUAACAAAUGAACAAACUUAUGUGAAAGAUGCUUUUUUAAUGAAAAAAGCAGGCUAUUUUUCCCAUUUUUGAAAUUUUGAAAUGAACCAAAUUUUAAAGUAGCCUUUCAAAAGACUUUGAUUUGAAUGUUAAAACUUCCUGGUUUAAAGAAGAAAUACAAUGGUCUAAAGUUUUCUCUCCGGGACACCCUGCCAGUUAUAGUAGACACUGUUAGUGGUUCCCUACAUUAAUUCUCAUUCUUUUACUUUUUCUGAGUUUUGUUCAACAGUUUACUCUCCUCCACAGGAUCAAGUGUUUUGGGAACCAGCCCCUAAAGAUGGCUCUUGAUUGGACUGAUCCCAUAGUGGUGGCACCAUUUCCUUUGCUUUGGACUUGGAUUUGUUGCAUAAUUCUGGUCAAUUAAAUGGUGAAGGGAAGUCUUCUGAGUGGCAAAGGAGAAUGCAAUGUUGGGGGAAGUGUUACACGCUUUUUUCAAGGAGAACAAAUAAGGUCAAGGGAUUUUUUUUUUUUCUGGACAGUGUCAUAUUUGGAUAUGAUGCUUGGAAUUGUGGUGGCCAUCUUACUAUUCCAAGGGCAUUAGCCUGAGGACCUCCUUAAAACAGGAAGGAUGGCAAAACAGAUAUUGGAAAAAUGCGAUACUUAAAGGUGUCGUUGACUCUAAACAAACCAACUCUGGAGCUUUCUUUUUGGUCUUCUUGAUCAGUGAAAUAAACCGUGUGCUUACUUUUAAAAUUUGAGUUUAUUUCUGUUCUACCUGUCAUCAAAGGCAGACAAACUGAUACAGUAGUUUCAGAAUGGCAAUGUUAUUCUGCUUCUUUCUCUUCAUCUGUGCUUACAGAUUAGUGAGUUAAUGAUACAUGUUUAGUUUUCAUGCAAGAAUGUUUGAUGUAAAAUAUAUGAGUUUUCAUUUAGGUGAUUUUGUUUUUCUUCCAUAAUAGGACCAAAAAUAAGAACUUGAGGUCCAUAAAGAAAGGCAUGAUUAAUAACCCUGCCUGAUGUUGGGCUAUCUCCACAAAGCAGGCCAGGGAAAUUCCCUCUGGAUAGUUCAGGUUUUAUCUAUUUCUUUCUCAGUAACUCACUAUCAAAGACAGAAUUCUUGAUUAAAAAAUAAAAAUGGAUUCUGCUGUUAACAAGAUCAGAGGCACUAACUUAAAAUGAUGCCAGGAACAUUCAAAGCAAAUGAACACUAUUUAGAUGUAUGGUUCAUGAGAAACUUAUGAAUAAAGAAGAGUUCAUGUGUUUAUUCCCAACUUUAAAAAGUUAUAAUGGAAAA
rnacentral:lncRNA from 1 species